rnacentral:misc_RNA from 1 species
GAUGAAGAACGUAGUGAAAUGCGAUAACUAAUGUGAAUUGCAGAAUUCAGUGAAUCAUCGAGUCUUUGAACGCACAUUGCGCCCCCUGGUAUUCCGGGGGGCAUGCCUGUCCGAGCGUCAUUGCUGCCCUCAAGCACGGCUUGUGUGUUGGGCUCCGUCCCCCCGGGGACGGGCCCGAAAGGCAGCGGCGGCACCGAGUCCGGUCCUCGAGCGUAUGGGGCUUUGUCACCCGCUCUGUAGGCCCGGCCGGCGCCAGCCGACAACCCAUCAUCCUUUUCAGGUUGACCUCGGAUCAGGUAGGGAUACCCGCUGAACUUAAGCAUAUCAAUAAGCGGAGGA